rnacentral:ncRNA from 1 species
UGCAAAGAUAAAAACGCAAUGUGCAUCCAAAGAUGCGCUAGAGCCGGUAGGUAGCCCGGCCGUCACGAAAAGAAAAACGUGGUAAGUAACCUGCCCCUCCGGGUUGUCCAUUCUUUGCACAUC